rnacentral:rRNA from 1 species
UUGACCUCGAAUCAGGUAGGAAUACCCGCUGAACUUAAGCAUAUCAAUAAGCGGAGGAAAAGAAACCAACCGGGAUUACCUCAGUAACGGCGAGUGAAGCGGUAACAGCUCAAAUUUGAAAUCUGGCUCUUCCGGAGUCCGAGUUGUAAUUUGUAGAAGAUGCUUUGGGUUGUGGGUUCGGCCUAAGUUCCUUGGAACAGGACGUCAUAGAGGGUGAGAAUCCCGUAUGUGGCCGAGGCCCGCGCCUAUGUAAAGCUCUUUCAACGAGUCGAGUUGUUUGGGAAUGCAGCUCAAAAUGGGUGGUAAAUUUCAUCUAAAGCUAAAUAUGGGCCAGAGACCGAUAGCGCACAAGUAGAGUGAUCGAAAGAUGAAAAGCACUUUGGAAAGAGAGUUAAACAGUACGUGAAAUUGUUGAAAGGGAAGCGCUUGCAACCAGACUUGGGCGCUGCCGAUCACCUUGAGUUUUCUCGAGUGCACUCGACAGCGCACAGGCCAGCAUCGGUUCGGGUGGCUGGAUAAAGGCCGUAGGAAUGUGGCUCUCUUCGGGGAGUGUUAUAGCCUACGGUGCCAUGCAGCCCAGCCGGACCGAGGACCGCGCCUUCGGGCUAGGAUGCUGGCGUAAUGGUUGUAAGCGACCCGUCUUGAAACACGGACCAAGGAGUCUAACAUCUAUGCGAGUGUUUGGGUGGUAAACCCAUACGCGGAAUGAAAGUGAACGUAGGUGAGAACCCCUUUGGGGCGCAUCAUCGACCGAUCCUGA